rnacentral:lncRNA from 1 species
GCCAAUAAUAAAGUAUUGAACUUGAAAACGUAUUUCCCUUUACUUUAGAUUUUAACAAAUCUAGCGAGACAUAGAGUUUGCUUUUCCAGUCAUUAUAUCUGGUUUAUUGUGUCACCUCAGUUGGUUCUGAUUUUGAGAUUUAGUCUUGGGUCAAGGUCUUGUGUACGUUCAUUGUUUGGGAGUUUGCUGACAACCUUAUUUGCCAUAUAGCUCUUGCGCGCUACAAUAUAUUAGUAU